rnacentral:lncRNA from 1 species
AAUUUAGAAGAGAUGUUAUAAAAAUUUUGAGGGUGAGGCUAUCAUAAGUCUUGACAUUUAAUUUCGGACAGUUUGACUCAAUAAAAUAUUCAAUUAACCCAAUUUCUCGUGACUCCCAUCAAACAAAGAUUUAAAUUUAUAGUUUUCCUUUAAACUCCCAUUUUAAUUGCUAAAAAUAUCCUUUUUAUAUCUAUUUUCUUCGUCAAUCUCAAUGAACACAAGAGUUUUGCAUGAUUAUAUCCUUUCCAAAAUAAUUGCUUACCCGUGAACUUAAGAAAUGAUCCUUAAAAGAUUAUUACUUUGGUAAUUAAUAUAAAUUUAUUCAUUAGACAGUCUUGUCCUGUAGAAAGUUCCUCAAUUUUGACUUGGUAUUAUGCAAAUAGACUUUUUGAGUUUCGUGCAAAAAUUAAUUCAAUACCACCCUUUUGCAAUCAAAAUUUGUUAAUUUGGUACAAGUUUUUUAGUAGAUUCUUGCACUCCUCCAAAAUUAUCUUAAAAUCUCUCUUUUAAUUAUACUUACCUUCAUUUUAAUAAUAUUCUUUUUUUUAAUAAAUAAACACUCUUUUCAUUUUAAAUUGUUUAAACUCUUUACAAA